CUUCGUCCUCUACUUUGCACCUACAGAUAUUCAGCGCAUUCCCAAAAAUGGGGUGUUUAUCAUUGAUGAAAGUGGCUCCAUGUCGGACGAAAAAUUGAGCAGAUUCUUACCUACUUUCAGCCAUAUUACGAUUGCACAACUCAGAAACCUCUGACAACCUCUCCUCCGUUGAGGAGCAUUAGGAUCUUGAAAUCUUCUGGUAAUGCUAAGCCACUUUGCUAUGAUGUCCCUCUUGCUCAGAAAGUCAGACUCCAACAGAAUGUCC